GAACCAUUUUUCGUUUGUCAAAUUUUAAUCUUUUCAUAAUAUUAGAAUCAUAAAGUUAGUUAUUGAUAUUUUGUGAUAAAUAAGUUCUGUUUUAUAUAAAUUAUCGAAAAUAUAUAAAAGUUUCAUGGCAGCUGCAAAGAAAAAUAAAAAAUUUAGGGCUAAAAAAAGGAAGUCAUCUCAGAAAAAAUAUGUCCUUUUGGCGCCAAUUCUUCUUAACACAGAAUUUAGAAUUGGAUGAAAUUCUUAUACAUAGAUGAGAUGACAAAUGACAACUUCUACUAAAUCUUCAAAUAUGGUGUUCAAUCAUGAAGGAUGGGUGUUUGUUGCGGAGCUGCUCCUGGAGGAGAUCUUGCAUUGCUGAGUCGCAGUUCAAUGCAUUUGGUCCAGCAAAGGAAGAAUUUGUCUCAUUGAAAAAGAGGAUAUGCUGUCAUCGUAAUUUUACACAACGCAGAAAUUCCCCUUUAUAGGUCUAAAAGAAGGAAGUCCUUUUAUAAAAAGGAUAUGCUGUCAUCGUAUCUCUAAAACUAUGCAGAAAUCCCCUCAUAUAGCUCCAUUCCAAUUUUCCAAAUAUCAGAAGAGACUGGGAAGGAUGUGGAAGAAGAAAAGUGGCCCCUGCAACAUUUUUUUUUUAUAAAAUUUUUCUUUCUUUUUUCUUAUUUUUUUAUAAUAUUUUUUUUUGAGCUCCCGGCCUCACGCAGAAGUGCGUGCAAGAAAGAGGGAUCCUCGGGAGCUGGCCCUGAAGCGCUCGAGAGUGGCAAUGACGUUAUUGUCCCGACGAGGGAUGAUUCGCCGAUCGGUGAGUCAUUUUUAUUUAACCCCUUCCCUGUUUAAAAGUUUUUUUUUAUAAAUUUAAUUAAUUCAAUUUAAUUUAAUAUCAAUUCAUAAAUUGAAAAUGAACUUUUUUAGAUAAUUUAUUAAUUAUGGAAUUUUCUUAACUUUUUUAAAAAAAUAGAUAUAUUACAAUGAUGCAAAUAAAAUAUUAAAAUUAAAAAAAAAAACAGGGAAGGAAUCUUGACAACAUGGUGACACCACUGAUGAAAAUGAUUAUUUUUUUAGUAAUUUUUAGGAGUAAUCUAAAAAAAAGCAUGUGAUAUUUUCGGAAAUUGAGCCCCUUUAAAAUUUGUAACACUCCCUACAUCUUAAAAUAUUACAUGUUUUAUGG